rnacentral:rRNA from 1 species
GACGAACGCUGGCGGCGUGCUUAACACAUGCAAGUCGAACGGAAAGGCCCUGCUUUUGUGGGGUGCUCGAGUGGCGAACGGGUGGGUAACACGUGAGUAACCUGCCCUUGACUUUGGGAUAACUUCAGGAAACUGGGGCUAAUACCGGAUAGGAGCUCCUGCUGCAUGGUGGGGGUUGGAAAGUUUCGGCGGUUGGGGAUGGACUCGCGGCUUAUCAGCUUGUUGGUGGGGUAGUGGCUUACCAAGGCUUUGACGGGUAGCCGGCCUGAGAGGGUGACCGGCCACAUUGGGACUGAGAUACGGCCCAGACUCCUACGGGAGGCAGCAGUGGGGAAUAUUGCACAAUGGGCGGAAGCCUGAUGCAGCAACGCCGCGUGCGGGAUGACGGCCUUUGGGUUGUAAACCGCUUUCGCCUGUGACGAAGCGUGAGUGACGGUAAUGGGUAAAGAAGCACCGGCUAACUACGUG